rnacentral:rRNA from 1 species
UACGGGGGGGGCUAGCGUUGCUCGGAAUCACUGGGCGUAAAGCGCACGUAGGCGGAUCUUUAAGUCAGGGGUGAAAUCCCAAGGCUCAACCUUGGAACUGCCUUUGAUACUGGGGAUCUCGAGUCCGGAAGAGGUGAGUGGAACUGCGAGUGUAGAGGUGAAAUUCGUAGAUAUUCGCAAGAACACCAGUGGCGAAGGCGGCUCACUGGUCCGGUACUGACGCUGAGGUGCGAAAGCGUGGGGAGCAAACAGG